CUUGUUUGCUUUAGCGGGAUAGCAAAUAAAGUUUUAAGCAGUUCAGAGAUUGCUUGAGAAUAUGCUCAUCUGGCAUCUAAGACUUUUGAGUCUUCUGAAGCCCCUCUCUCCUUUGUGUCAUCACUCUGCACGUUUCCUGCCUGCAUGGACCAGUGGGCUUAGGCAAGGGUAUGGGAUCUGCUUCUAAGACCUUGAUAGUGUCUCCCUCCUUUGUGCCUGGGGCUGUUGCCUUUCACUGCCAGCACCAUCAAGUUCCCCCAGCUAUUGAGGUGGUCUCUGUGCAUUGAAUCAGAAUCAUGGGAUUGUUUGAUAAGCUAGCAGGAUGGCUUGGUCUGAAGAAGAAGGAGGUUCAUGUUUUGUGCCUUGGGUUGGACAAUAGUGGCAAAACAACUAUUAUUAAUAAACUUAAACCUUCAAAUGCUCAAACUCAAGACAUAGUUCCAACAAUAGGAUUCAGUAUAGAAAAAUUCAAGACAUCCAGUUUGUCUUUCACAGUGUUUGACAUGUCCGGUCAAGGCAGAUACAGAAACCUGUGGGAACAUUACUACAAAGAAGGCCAAGCCAUUAUUUUUGUCAUUGAUAGCAGUGAUAAAUUAAGAAUGGUUGUGGCCAAAGAAGAACUUGACACCCUCCUGACUCAUCCAGAUAUCAAACACCGUAGAAUACCUAUCUUGUUCUUUGCUAACAAGAUGGACCUCAGGGAUGCAGUAUCAUCUGUGAAAGUCUCUCAGUUACUGUCUUUAGAGAACAUCAAAGAUAAACCAUGGCAUAUCUGUGAACCUUCUGCAUUUGCAAUGGCCAUUGACCAGAAGAAGUCCUUUGCCAAGCAUGCUGCUUCCUGAUUGCAGGAACACAGCCAGAUUUUGGUGAAUCUCUGGAGUGAGGCAAGCAAAAUAUUUUUGAUUUUUAAGAAGAAUACCAUGAAGCUGGCAACAUUGGGGUUUCACUGGCCUGGUCACCAAUGCAGGGAUUGGAUUAAGUGGCUCAAGACUGACUACCAGGAAGCCAGGGAUGAGAACAUCACCUCUGUCAUCCUGCCUCGCUUACAAGGAGUUUGUCAAGGUGCUGGAUAUUGUGCUGAGCAUGGAACCAGCAAGAGGGGGAGGGAUAGCUCAGUGGUUUGAGUAUUGGCGUGGUAAACCCAGGGUUGUGAGUUCAAUCCUUGAAGGGGCCAUUUAGGGAUCUGGGGCAGAUAUUGGGGAUUGGCCCUGCUUUGAGCAGGGGGUUGGAUUAGAUCUUCCUUCCAUCCCUGAUAUUCUAUGAUCAUAUGUUUAAUACUUCACAAUGCCCUGAUCAGCUGGGAUGGUGACCUUCUGACUCCUGAAUCCAGUAUAGGACUGGAGGGGAGUUAGUAGAUGCUGGAUCAGGCUGAUGAAGUGACACUGGUGCUGGAACUGGUCCCUGAGGAGGCUUUGCCACUGGAGCAGCUACAGCAUAUCCUGAGUCCUUCCUCCGAGGAGCAUUUUGAUGCCCCCCAAGGAGCAAUCUGCUGCAGAACUGGCAGGAAAACCAGAAGAGACAGUACUCAGCCUGGAACUUGUAUUUCUACUGGCUGUUGUACCUUGGUAGCUUUCGCUCACUCCACUGGAAGCCUGGGUUUCCAUACCAUCAUACACCAGUCCUAGAGGAAGCAUUCCCAUGAUGAAUUUAUUAUCGACAUUCUGGACAGGGACAAUAAAUAAGUCCAAUACCAAAGAGAGAAGAAUUCAUUUAAAGUGGAGAGGCAAGUGGAAAGGCACAGGCAGGCUGCAGAGAUGAGGACAGAAUUACAGCGUGGGAGCAGAUACUUGCAUCGUAGUUCCUGGAAGAGGAACGUUGGUUAAGGGUGGAAGACUAAGUGUAGCAGAACAACCAGUUUGAGUAAUGGCUGCUUUUGCUGAUAGUUGCAAGAGUGCAGGCUCCUGCCAUGUUUAUACUGUGACCUGAGUCUCUUUCAUGGUACCUUUUUCAGAGUAGCAGCCAUGUUAGUCUGUAUCUGCAAAAAGAAAAGGAGUACUUGUGGCACCUUAGAGACUAACAAAUUUAUUAGAGCAUAAGCUUUCGUGAGCUACAGCCAAAGUGAGCUGUAGCUCAUGAAAGCUUAUGCUCUAAUAAAUUUGUUAGUCUCUAAGGUGCCACAAGUACUCCUUUUCUUCCUUCAUGGUACCGUGUGCUGCAUACCAGGGUCGCUUUGAACAAUUUCAUGAUUGGCUGGCCCAUGCAACUGGGACUUAAUAGCAUCUUUACUGGGUAAAUCUACCCCUGUGUACUUCCACCCCGUGCAGAUCUUCUCCCUCUUGCAGUCUGCCACUCUCCUGCAGGCCUCUAUGCCCAUGCAGCAAUGGCAAGUGAGUGGUAAAUGCACAAGAGAGGAAGAAGAAAACUUAACAGGUGACGCACACAAUUGGAGGAUUUACUGACAGCACUGAUUGCAUUGUUCAGUGUUGCAUGCACUUUGUUUUAUUACUGGUUGUGGUAUUGGUUUGUUACUGUUGUUUCAGUAUUCUAAUGGUAGCAGGCCUGCCUGGCAAUACUUUAAUAUUGUUAUUUUUAUAAUACAAAUAAAGGCUUUUAUUUUAUUUAAAAAA